AAGUAUGUCUAACUACUGUGAUACUUUCUUUGCUAAUAAUACAAGAUUAUUAAUCUGCUGAAAGUUGUAUAAAAUCUCUUUAGGUAAGAUUAGGCGGCGGAGACUCCCCAGCGCUGCUUGUAGCUGAACUGCAGCUGUAAAACACUGCCAAAAAUCCUGUGUGGAUCCCCGGUAAGAUGGAUGCUGUACACAAGCUGAAGGUUUUGGUGAUGUUUCUGUCUCUGGCUACUUUCACGGUCAUGGUGAUAAUGAACGCUGGAAAUGCCACUGGGAUAUUCAAAGGUCUAUUCAGGACAACCCCUGGAAACAUCUCAGACAAGUACAGCACUGAUUUCACACCAGCUGGCUGGACUUUCCUCAUCUGGAAUGUCAUCUAUGCCUGGCAGCUCGCCUGGCUUCUCUACGCCUUGUCAGGGAUCUGUCGAAGGAAUGAACUUGGACGUGUCUUCAUAAAGCCAGACUUGCUGCCAAUACCUUUUUAUGUGGCAUGGUGUCUGAAUAAUGGCCUCAAUGUUGGAUGGCUCUUUCUGUGGGACCGAGAAUACCUCCUUCCAGCCCUAGUGUUCCUGGUAGUCCUCACUCUUACCACGUGUGCCUCCCUCUUCAUUUCACACCGAGCCUUGAGCAUCUAUUCCUCGUGGUUUGUGAAGGGUCACAAAGCUGAGCUCUGGCUCAUCCGCAUUCUGGUCCAGAACGGGCUGGCACUGUACGGAAUGUGGACCACCAUCGCCACCCUGCUGAACUUCGCCGUUGUGCUGAUCUACCAGGGGAACGUGUCCCACGAGAAAGCAACCACUGCUUCUCUCAGCAUCCUUGCUCUCUGCCUGGUGAUAUGGUUUUACCUAGAAAACUUCUCUCUUGACAAGUAUGUCCGCUAUAACCUCACAAUCUACCCAGUGGUCAUAACAGCUCUGAUUGGCAGUGCAUGCAAGAACAGCUCGUUUUCAUCCCCAAUGACCAACAACAUUUUCAUAGUUGUUCUGCUGGCAGGGACUUCCCUGAUCUUUGCUGUUCGACUGGGACUAGUCACGUGGAGACACUAUAAGAGACCACUGGAAGCCUCAGGAACCACAGACCCGUCAGGCACAGUGGCCUGAGACCUCUGGCAUGUUGUGGCAGAUACCUGAAAGGGAGAAAAAAGAAUUGGGCAUCUGCUGGUCGUUCCUUCCAGUAUCAAUUGCCUUGUGCUUUUCCCUCUUAUUCUCCAUCCCAAAGGCAGGUAGAUGGUGUCUGCAGACCUGUUUCACUCCCACGUUCUCUCGGACGAGCUACUCGCAGCUUUUACUCUGGAAAAGUGCAGGGAAAGGUCCUUUAGCUGAGCAGCCCUGUGCACCUCUGUGGUGCCUGAGCUGCAGCUCUCUGCUCCUGCCAGAGCAAGGAAUGCUGCCAGUGGGAGGUCCUCAGUAUCCACAAGUCCUGGUGCUGUGAGCAGAUCUCCUUCAGGCAGCGACUGCCUCCUUUCCUGCUUCUCUUCAGCAUGACAGAAACAGAUACUACAGCUUGAUAUCUACCUUUACAGUGUCAGCUCUGAUGUUUGAUAGGCAAGGGAGCAGGAGGAGUGACUGAAGACUUCUGACACAAAUGAGUUGCCUUUCCCUGAGCUUGUGCUGGCUGGAUGUCUCCUGCUGGAGGAUGGUUUGUGGCCACUCUGGAAGGAGGUUAGAUGUACAGAUGAGAUGGUACCUGAUCUGGGGUGAAGCCUGCUGCUUCAAAGGAAGCCUGUUUAAGAAAAAAAAAAUAAUAUUUGAACCGGUAGAGCGAGUUCAUCCUGGAUCAGUGCCUUUCUCAUGUGGUUUCACUACUUCUUAGUUGGUAUUAAGAAGCCUACAAGUGGGUUGACUGAAUUGUUGGACCACUGCCUCUAUUUCCUGUGCCUAAUCGAGAGUUGGUGGUGCCUCACAGGUGUCUGGAAAGUGUUUUUACAUGGCAGGUGCUUUCAGAUAUUGAAUAUCUUGCAAUACUAUUGCAAAGCUAAAU
rnacentral:lncRNA from 1 species